rnacentral:rRNA from 1 species
AGUGAAUAGAUACCCUGGUAGUCCACGCCCUAAACUAUGUUCUCUGGCUUUUCGGAGUAUCGACCCUCUGAGAGGCGAAAGCUAACGCGUUAAGAGAACCGCCUGGGAAGUACGGCCGCAAGGCUAAAACUCAAAAGAAUAGACGGGGACUCGCACAAGCGGUGGAUCAUGCGGUUUAAUUCGAUGAUAAACGAAAACCUCACCAGGGUUUGAAAUCCAAACGAAGUCUCGGCGAAAGUUGAGAUGUCUCACAAGGACGGUUGGACAGGUGUUGCAUGGUUGUCGUCAGUUCGUGGCUUGAGCUGUUCCCUUAAGUGGGGAAACGAACGCAACCUUCGUCCCGUGUUACAAGUGUCACGGGAGACUGCCGAGCUUUGCUCGGAGGAAGCGGAGAUGACGCCAAAUCAGCAUGACCCUCUGAUAUCCUGGGCUACACGCAUGAUACAAUGGCCACUACAACAGGCUGCAAAGGAGUAAUCCGGAGCAAAUCCCAAAAACGUGGUCUCAGUUCGGAUUGA